rnacentral:rRNA from 1 species
GAUGAACGCUGGCGGCGUGCCUAGUACAUGCAAGUCGAGCGAACAGAUGAGAAGCUUGCUUCUCUGAUGUUAGCGGCGGACGGGUGAGUAACACGUGGGUAACCUAUCUAUAAGACUGGGAUAACUCCGGGAAACCGGGGCUAAUACCGGAUAAUAUUUUGAACCGCAUGGUUCAAUAGUGAAAGACGGUUUCGGCUGUCACUUAUAGAUGGACCCGCGCCGUAUUAGCUAGUUGGUAAGGUAACGGCUUACCAAGGCGACGGUACGUAGCCGACCAGAGAGGGUGAUCGGCCACACUGGAACUGAGACACGGUCCAGACUCCUACGGGAGGCAGCAGUAGGGAAUCUUCCGCAAUGGGCGAAAGCCUGACGGAGCAACGCCGCGUGAGUGAUGAAGGUCUUCGGAUCGUAAAACUCUGUUGUUAGGGAAGAACAAAUUUGUUAGUAACUGAACAAGUCUUGACGGUACCUAACCAGAAAGCCACGGCUAACUACGUGCCAGCCGCCGCAGUAA